rnacentral:rRNA from 1 species
UACAGAGGGUGCGAGCGUUAAUCGGAAUUACUGGGCGUAAAGCGCGCGUAGGCGGCUUUGCAAGUCGGGUGUGAAAUCCCCAGGCUUAACCUGGGAACUGCAUUCGAGACUGCAUUGCUAGAGUAUGGGAGAGGGAAGUGGAAUUUCCGGUGUAGCGGUGAAAUGCGUAGAUAUUCGGAAGAACACCAGUGGCGAAGGCGACUCACUGGACAUGUAUUGACGCUGAGGUGCGAAAGCGUGGGGAGCAAACAGG